UACGUAGGUGUCGAGCGUUGUCCGGAUUUAUUGGGCGUAAAGCGCCCGCAGGCGGCUUGGCAAGUUCCAGGUGAAAUCUCCCGGCUUAACUGGGAGAGGUCCUGGAAAACUUCCAGGCUUGAGGCAGAGAGAGGGAUGUGGAAUUCCCGGUGUAGUGGUGAAAUGCGUAGAUAUCGGGAGGAACACCAGUGGCGAAGGCGGCAUCCUGGCUCUGUCCUGACGCUCAGGGGCGAAAGCGUGGGGAG
rnacentral:rRNA from 1 species